rnacentral:rRNA from 1 species
ACUCAAAUGAAUUGACGGGGCCCCGCACAAGCGGCGGAGCAUGCGGAUUAAUUCGAUGCAACGCGAAGAACCUUACCUGGGUUUGACAUAUACCGGAAACGUCUAGAGAUAGGCGCCCCCUUGUGGUCGGUAUACAGGUGGUGCAUGGCUGUCGUCAGCUCGUGUCGUGAGAUGUUGGGUUAAGUCCCGCAACGAGCGCAACCCUCGUCUUAUGUUGCCAGCGGUUCGGCCGGGGACUCAUAAGAGACUGCCGGGGUCAACUCGGAGGAAGGUGGGGAUGACGUCAAGUCUUCAUGCCCCUUAUGUCCAGGGCUUCACGCAUGCUACAAUGGCCGGUACAGAGGGCUGCGAUCCCGCAAGGGGGAGCGAAUCCCAAAAAGCCGGUCUCAGUUCGGAUUGGGGUCUGCAACUCGACCCCAUGAAGUCGGAGUCGCUAGUAAUCGCAGAUCAGCAACGCUGCGGUGAAUACGUUCCCGGGGCUUGUACACACCGCCCGU